rnacentral:rRNA from 1 species
UUUCGCAAUGCCCGAAAGGGUGACGAAGCGACGCCGCGUGUGGGAAGAAGGCCUUCGGGUUGUAAACCACUGUCGGGAGUUAGGAAAUGCAGGUGCGUUAAUAGCGCACUUGCUUGACUAAAGCUCCAGAGGAAGCCACGGCUAACUCUGUGCCAGCAGCCGCGGUAAUACAGAGGCGGCAAGCGUUGUUCGGAAUUAUUGGGCGUAAAGAGCACGUAGGCGGCCUUGCAAGUCAGUUGUGAAAGCCUUCCGCUUAACGGAAGAACGGCAUCUGAUACUACAGGGCUUGAGUACGGGAGGGGAGAGUGGAACUUCUGGUGGAGCGGUGAAAUGCGUAGAUAUCAGAAGGAACGCCGGCGGCGAAAGCGACUCUCUGGUCCGAAACUGACGCUGAGUGUGCGAAAGCUAGGGGAGCAAACGGGAUUAGAUACCCCGGUAGUCCUAGCCGUAAACGAUGGGCACUAAGUAGAGGGGUUUU